AAAAAACUAAAAAAAUACUGAAAAAAAUUUCAGGCAACUAAACUCUAGAAAAAUCACUAUUCCAUUUAAUUUUCUUAGGCUAAUCUUAAAGUUUCAAGUUCUAAAUUCAAUGCCCAGCUUCUCUAAGGUUGAAAUGGCUUAAGUUUCCUUGUGGUCUUAGUGAUUGAAGCUUCAGAGGUUCCAGGGGUCUAUUUCAAGUCUAUUUUGG
rnacentral:lncRNA from 1 species